GACUGAACCCUAAUCCUCAUGGAUACUAGUUGGGUUUGUUACUGCUGAGCCAUGACAAGAACUCCUGCAUUUCUACACAAUUAUAAUGAACCAUCAAAAAGCAAAGGUUAAAAAAAUCCCAUCAAAAACAAUAAAAUAAUUAGAAAUAAACUUAACCAAGGAGGCGAAAGACCUAUACUCUGAAAGCUAUCAAACAUUGUUGAAGGAAGCUUAUGAAGAGUUAAAGAAAUGGAAAGAUAUCUUGUAGUUAGACUGAAGAAAUAACAUUGCUAAAAUGACCAUAUUACCCAAAGCAAUCUACAGAUUAACAGCAAUCUCUAUCAAAAUACCCAUGACAUUUUUUUCACGAGUAUAAUCCCAAAACUUACACAGAACCACAAAAGACCCAGAAUUGCCAAAGCCAUCUUGAGAAAAAAGGACAAAACUAGAGGUAUCACCCUCCAGAUUUCAGACGGUAUUACAAAGCUAGAGUAAUCAAAACAGCAUUGUACUGGCACAAAAACAGACACAUAGAUCGAAGGAACAGAUAUAGAGCCAAGAAAUAAUCCCAUGCACCUAUUAUUAAUUAAUCAGCAAAAAAGAGGUAAGAAUGUACAAUAGAGAAAAUACAGGGUUUUCAAAAAGCAGUGUUGGGAAAACUGGACAGAUACAUGUGUAAUAAUGAGAUUAGAACAUUACCUCAACACUUUAUGCAAAAAUAAAUUCAAAAUGAAUUAAAGACCUAGUUGUAAGGCCUGAAACCAUAAAACUAUAAAGAAACAUAAAUUGUAGCAAAAUUUUUUGAAUCUGUCUCCUAGGACAAAAUAAAAGCAUCAAUAAAUAAUAGGACCUGAUUAAGCAUAAAAGCUUUUGCACAAUAAAAGAAAUUAUCAAAAAACCCCACACACAAAAAAAGAAAAAACAACCUAUGGAAUGGGAGAAAAUAUUUGCAAAUGAUGUGACUGAAAAAGUUAAUAUCCAAAAUAUAUAAACAGCUUAUACAACUCAGUAUCAAAAAGAUGAAAACCUAAUCAAAAAAGAAGACAUUUAGAUGGCUAACAGGCACAAGAAAAGAUGCUCAACAUCACUAAUUAUUAGAGAAAUGCAAAUCAAAAAACAAUGAAAUAUUACCUCACACCUGUCAGAAUGGCUAUCGUCAAAAAGAUUGCAAAUAACAAGUGUGGGAAAGGAUGUGUACACUGUUGGUGGGAAUGUAAAACUGGUGCAGCCUCUGUGAAAAACAGUAUGGAGGUUCCCCCCAAAAUUAAAAAUAGAACUGUAAUGUGACCCAGGAAUUCCACACCUGGGUAUCUAUCUAAAGGAAACAGACGCAUUAAUUUGAGAAGAUAUAUGCACCCCAUGUAAAUAAUUCAUAGCAGCCUUAUUUACCAUUGCCAAGAUACGAAAAUGCCCACCGAUGGAGAAAUAGAUUAAAGAAGAUGUGGUAUACAUACACAACAGCAUAUUAGUGCCACUUUAAAAAAAGAACAAAAGUCUGACAUUUGCAGCAAUGUGGAUGGGCUUAGAGCAUACGAUGGUUAGUAAAAUAAGUCAAAGACAAAUCCUGUAUGAUAUCGCUUAUAUGUGGAAUCUAAAAAAUAAUAUAAAUGUGUAUGCAAAACAGAAACAUACUCUCAGAUAUAGAAACUUUUGGUAACUAGUGGUUACCGAAUGGGAGAGGGUAGGUGGGAGGGGCAAAUUAGGGGCAUGGGGUUAAGAGGCACAAACUACUAUGGACAAAAUCGAUAAACAACAUGAAUAUAUUGUAUAGCCCAGGGAAUUAUAGCCAAUAUCUUAUAAUAACUUUUAAUGGAGUAUAAUCUGUAAAACUACCGAAUCGCUAUGUUGUACAUGUGAAGCUACUAUCAUGUUGUAAAUAAACUAAGAAAACCCCUUAGCAUCAAAACUUGCAGAAUGGGUGUCUGUGGGAUGGACGAAACCCUCGGAGAUAGGAGUGGAGUGCUGUUUUAACUCCCAGGAAUGAAAUGGUUGGGGGGAGGGGGAGGGAAGAAAGUAAAUAAAAAUGUGCGUAGCAACAUCCCUGAAGAGGGAACCGGAGUAAGCUAGGUAUACAUAAUUGCAAAACUCAAGCCAAAGCCUAGCACUAAACGGCUUUUAGUUCCUACAGUACCUUUUAAGAAAUGCUGUAUCCUAAUGUUCAUAGUGGCGCAGGGGGUAAUCAAUUACACAUUGUAUAUUAAUAUGUAAAUAUGCAAAUGUAAGUAUGUUAAUAUGUAACUGAGUCAAAACGGAAGUCAGAAGAGUCAAACUGAAUAUAAAGACGUUUUAGGACUAUAUUUACAUAUUUAUUUCACAAAUUUAUUUCCUUUUAAUGUUCGAACAAUGGUAACACACAUCGAAAAUCUAAGCACUCUUUGAAUACCUGUUCAGUACAAGUUCAGUGUAAGAAAACGUUGCGUUAUAGUUAAAUGACAUUUUUUUCCCUUCUUAGUGGUAUAUAUGAUAAUGAUGCAUCUGAGAGCUGGUGAUGUCAAGUAGCAAUUUGGGGGCAGCCCUGUCAAAAUCAUUGCAACUUUGUAACAGUCACAAUGACAAAUGUGAAAAUGAUCCUAAUGAAAAUGCUAGCACAGUUGAAAAGACAUGCUAACCUCCUAAUGAAUAAAUAAGUACCUCAAUGAAUUUAGUACUUCAGCCUACAAAGGUGACGGUGUCUUGGUGAAGGGGAUGUAAAGAAGGGCUGUAAGUGGGUUCUGAGUUAUGGAGAUAAGGGCCAGAUACAUAGAUGUUGGGGAAACUUCAUGUUUAUUUGCAUGGAAGAGCUGUGGCCAAGAGGAAGAAUGUGGAGCAAACUGAUGUGUAAAUAUGGGUCAUACACAUUCACCCUUUAGUUCACUACAUCCAGUCACAUUAGUUUACUUAAAUUCAGAUGUUGGCAGUUGGUGGUGCAAAGCAUUAACGUUCUGAAAAAAUUACAUACGAAUCCCUUCCACUUUCGCCUAAUAAUGGCAUUGCUUUCCCAUAAGCCAGUCACGUGACAGCUAAUUUGUAUUUCAGAAAAAAACACUUUGGAGCCAAACACAUCAAACUUUUCACAUUUCCCUAGUAACCUUGCCAAGUCUGUACUCUUCACAUUUUACAGAUAAGAAAAGGACCUGAUGAUCGGAAACUUGCUUUGGGCCGCGUGGCUGGUAAGUGGUGAUGGUGGCAGAAAUCAAAUCCACGUCUAACUCCAGAGCUCACGCUUUUCGUGCUUCUGUCACAAAGCCCAGUCCAAGGAGAUUUCCCUUCCUCCUCCUCUCAUCGUCCCCAUCCCAGAAUAAUUAUACCUUUUGCUGGAUGACCUCUUAGCAUUAUCUCCUUCUAGCUCAGGUUUUAGAAUGUGGCAAGGGAACAGGAGCAAAGAGAGUUGCUUUUUCCUUUAAGUAUUUUCUGAAGUUGUUUGGUAACCUUGUCUCUCACAUUUCUGUCUUUAAUGAGUAACUGGAUUUCCUGACAUUGUAACGUCCGUUUGUCUCUGGACAAAAAGUACUGUAAGAUCUAAUAUAUUCAGUGUUAUGUUUGCAGCUUGUACUAUGAAGAGCUUUCAAAACUUGACUGCCCUUUUAAAAAGAUAAACUGUCACCAGAUGGCAGCAAAGUGCCUUCAGCAUAAGAUCGGAACUAUGUAGUAUGUCUGAUUGUUUAUUGCUGUAAAUACUCCAUUUUAAAGGAAGAAAUUUAUGGAAUUCUCAUUGUGGCUCAGUGGUUUAAAAAUCGGACUAGGAUCCAUGAGGGUGUGGGUUCAAUCCCUGGUCUUGCUCAGUGGGUGAAAGAUACAGUGUUGCCGCAAACUGCAGCUGUAGAAAGUUGCAGAUACAGCUUGUAGCGGGCAUUUCUGCGGCUGUGGUGUAGGCUGGCAGCUUCAGCUCCAAUUUGACCCCUAGCCUGGGAACAUCCAUAUGCCACAGGUGUGGCCC
rnacentral:lncRNA from 1 species